rnacentral:rRNA from 2 species
UUAAAGCUUGCUUUUAAAAGUUAGCGGCGGACGGGUGAGUAACACGUGGGUAACCUGCCUGUAAGACUGGGAUAACUCCGGGAAACCGGGGCUAAUACCGGAUAACUUUUUUCCUCGCAUGAGGAAAAAUUGAAAGAUGGCUUCGGCUAUCACUUACAGAUGGACCCGCGGCGCAUUAGCUAGUUGGUGAGGUAACGGCUCACCAAGGCAACGAUGCGUAGCCGACCUGAGAGGGUGAUCGGCCACACUGGGACUGAGACACGGCCCAGACUCCUACGGGAGGCAGCAGUAGGGAAUCUUCCGCAAUGGACGAAAGUCUGACGGAGCAACGCCGCGUGAGUGAUGAAGGUCUUCGGAUCGUAAAACUCUGUUGUUAGAGAAGAACAAGUACCGUUCGAAUAGGGCGGUACCUUGACGGUACCUAACCAGAAAGCCACGGCUAACUACGUGCCAGCAGCCGCGGUAAUACGUAGGUGGCAAGCGUUGUCCGGAAUUAUUGGGCGUAAAGCGCGCGCAGGCGGUUUCUUAAGUCUGAUGUGAAAGCCCACGGCUCAACCGUGGAGGGUCAUUGGAAACUGGGAGACUUGAGUGCAGAAGAGGAGAGUGGAAUUCCACGUGUAGCGGUGAAAUGCGUAGAGAUGUGGAGGAACACCAGUGGCGAAGGCGACUCUCUGGUCUGUAACUGACGCUGAGGCGCGAAAGCGUGGGGAGCGAACAGGAUUAGAUACCCCUGGUAGUCCACGCCGUAAACGAUGAGUGCUAAGUGUUAGAGGGUUUCCGCCCCUUUUA